rnacentral:rRNA from 1 species
AUUGAACGCUGGCGGCAGGCCUAACACAUGCAAGUCGAACGAGUGGCGGACGGGUGAGUAAUGUCUGGGAAACUGCCUGAUGGAGGGGGAUAACUACUGGAAACGGUAGCUAAUACCGCAUACCAUCGAAUGUGCCCCGAUGGGAUUAGCUUGUUGGUGGGGUAAAGGCUCACCAAGGCGACGAUCCCUAGCUGGUCUGAGAGGAUGACCAGCCACACUGGAACUGAGACACGGUCCAGACUCCUACGGGAGGCAGCAGUGGGGAAUAUUGCACAAUGGGCGCAAGCCUGAUGCAGCCAUGCCGCGUGGAUGAAGAAGGCCUUCGGGUUGUAAAGUACUUUCAGCGGGGAGGCGGUACCCGAAGAAGAAGCACCGGCUAACUCCGUGCCAGCAGCCGCGGUAAUUC